UUAGUCCAAAGCCAAGAGGCUCAUGAUUUACUAUAUAAAUCAUUGGGCUGGGCCCCAGCAGAGGCAACAGCAUUUCAAGCUGUGGUUA
rnacentral:ncRNA from 14 species